GAUGAACGCUAGCGGCAGGCUUAAUACAUGCAAGUCGAGGGGCAGCAGGGGUGUAGCAAUACACUCGCUGGCGACCGGCAAACGGGUGCGGAACACGUACGCAACUUACCCAAAACUGGGGAAUAGCCCGGGGAAACCCGGAUUAAUACCUCGUAACAUAAUGGAGUGGCAUCACUUUAUUAUUAUAGCUCCGGCGGUUUUGGAUGGGCGUGCGCCUGAUUAGGUAGUUGGCGGGGUAACGGCCCACCAAGCCUACGAUCAGUAACUGGUGUGAGAGCACGACCAGUCACACGGGCACUGAGACACGGGCCCGACUCCUACGGGAGGCAGCAGUAAGGAAUAUUGGUCAAUGGACGCAAGUCUGAACCAGCCAUGCCGCGUGAAGGAUGAAGGUCCUCUGGAUU
rnacentral:rRNA from 1 species